rnacentral:rRNA from 1 species
AUUGAACGCUGGCGGCAGGCUUAACACAUGCAAGUCGAGCGGGGGAAGGUAGCUUGCUACCGGACCUAGCGGCGGACGGGUGAGUAAUGCUUAGGAAUCUGCCUAUUAGUGGGGGACAACAUCUCGAAAGGGAUGCUAAUACCGCAUACGUCCUACGGGAGAAAGCAGGGGAUCUUCGGACCUUGCGCUAAUAGAUGAGCCUAAGUCGGAUUAGCUAGUUGGUGGGGUAAAGGCCUACCAAGGCGACGAUCUGUAGCGGGUCUGAGAGGAUGAUCCGCCACACUGGGACUGAGACACGGCCCAGACUCCUACGGGAGGCAGCAGUGGGGAAUAUUGGACAAUGGGGGGAACCCUGAUCCAGCCAUGCCGCGUGUGUGAAGAAGGCCUUAUGGUUGUAAAGCACUUUAAGCGAGGAGGAGGCUACUUUAGUUAAUACCUAGAGAUAGUGGACGUUACUCGCAGAAUAAGCACCGGCUAACUCUGUGCCAGCAGCCGCGGUAAUACAGAGGGUGCGAGCGUUAAUCGGAUUUACUGGGCGUAAAGCGUGCGUAGGCGGCUUAUUAAGUCGGAUGUGAAAUCCCCGAGCUUAACUUGGGAAUUGCAUUCGAUACUGGUGAGCUAGAGUAUGGGAGAGGAUGGUAGAAUU